GGUUCCAUAGAGUAGUGGAUAGCACAUCUGCCUUACAUGCAGAAGGUCCUGGGUUCAAGACCCAGAGGAGCCA
rnacentral:tRNA from 1 species